AUGUGUGUGUGUGUGUGUAUAUAUAUGUGUGUAUGUAUAUAUAUAUAUAUAUAUAUAUAUAUACACACACACACCGUAU